rnacentral:rRNA from 1 species
GGGUCAGUAGGUUCGUCGUGCCACCGGUACGUACUGGUCUCACUGAUUCCUCCUUCCUGAAGAACCGUAAUGCCAUUAAUUUGGCGUUGCGGGGAAACAGGACUGUUACUUGGAAAAAAUUAGAGUGUUUAAAGCAAGCUAACGCUUGAAUACAUUAGCAUGGAAUAAUGAAAUAGGACGAUCGAUCCUAUUUUGUUGGUUUCUAGGAUUGACGUA